CCUGCCGGGGUUGUAGGGCGUCUCACACGGAGUGACAAAGGGAAGGGAUAGGCGAAGUGGUCCUGGAAAGGCCCGCCAUAGAGAGUAACAGCCUCGUAGCUGAAAUUCCUUCCCCUCCGAGACGGACCCUGAGUACCGCGGGACACGUGAAACCCCGUGGGAAUCCGGGAGGACCACCUCCCAAGGCUAAAUACUCCCUGGCGACCGAUAGUGAACCAGUACCGUGAGGGAAAGGUGAAAAGCACCCCGGAAGGGGAGUGAAAGAGAACCUGAAACCGUGUGCUUACAAUCAGUCGGAGCACCCUUGAGGUGUGACGGCGUGCCUUUUGUAGAAUGAACCGGCGAGUAACGGUUGCGUGCAAGGUUAAGGCGAAAAGCCGGAGCCGCAGCGAAAGCGAGUCUGAACAGGGCGUAGAGUACGUAGCCGUUGACCCGAAACCGGGUGAUCUACCCAUGUCCAGGGUGAAGUUGCGGUAAUGCGCAAUGGAGGCCCGAACCUGUUGGUGUUGAAAAACCAUAGGAUGAGGUGUGGGUAGGGGUGAAAUGCCAAUCGAACUCGGAGAUAGCUGGUUCUCCCCGAAAUAGCUUUAGGGCUAGCCUUGGAGAAUGAGUCAUGGAGGUAGAGCACUGAUUGGGCUAGGGGCCCUCCCCGGGUUACCGAACUCAGUCAAACUCCGAAUGCCAUCGACUUUACUCCAGGAGUCAGACCGCGAGUGCUAAGAUCCGUGGUCAAAAGGGAAACAGCCCAGACCACCAGCUAAGGUCCCUAAGUGACCGUUCAGUGGGAAAGGAUGUGGAGUUGCCCAGACAACCAGGAUGUUGGCUUAGAAGCAGCCAUCAUUCAAAGAGUGCGUAAUAGCUCACUGGUCAAGUGACUCCGCGCCGAAAAUGUAACGGGGCUAAACGGUCCACCGAAGCUGUGGAUGUCCUAUGGACAUGGUAGGGGAGCGUUCCAAGUGCAGCGAAGCUGCAUCGUGAGAUGCGGUGGAGCGCUUGGAAGUGAGAAUGCCGGUAUGAGUAGCGAAAAGAGGGGUGAGAAUCCCCUCCACCGAAAGCCUAAGGUUUCCUGAGGAAGGUUCGUCCGCUCAGGGUAAGUCGGGACCUAAGCCGAGGCCGAAAGGCGUAGGCGAUGGACAACAGGUGGAAAUUCCUGUACCACCAACCUUCGUUUGUACGAUGGGGGGACGCAGGAGGGUAGAGAAUCGCGCGACUG
rnacentral:rRNA from 1 species